rnacentral:rRNA from 1 species
CCUACGGGAGGCUGCAGUGGGGAAUAUUGGACAAUGGGGGGAACCCUGAUCCAGCCAUGCCGCGUGUGUGAAGAAGGCCCUCGGGUUGUAAAGCACUUUCAGUGAGGAAGAACGCCUGGUGGUUAAUACCCAUCAGGAAAGACAUCACUCACAGAAGAAGCACCGGCUAACUCCGUGCCAGCAGCCGCGGUAAUACGGAGGGUGCGAGCGUUAAUCGGAAUUACUGGGCGUAAAGCGCGCGUAGGUGGCUUGAUAAGCCGGUUGUGAAAGCCCCGGGCUCAACCUGGGAACGGCAUCCGGAACUGUCAAGCUAGAGUGCAGGAGAGGAAGGUAGAAUUCCCGGUGUAGCGGUGAAAUGCGUAGAGAUCGGGAGGAAUACCAGUGGCGAAGGCGGCCUACUGGACUGACACUGACACUGGGGUGCGAAAGCGUGGGUAGCAAACAGGAUUAGAUACCCUUGUAGUC